rnacentral:rRNA from 1 species
UUGGGCGUAAAGCGCGCGUAGGCGGUAAAAUAAGUCUGAUGUGAAAGCCCCCGGCUCAACCGGGGAGGGUCAUUGGAAACUGUUUUACUUGAGUACAGAAGAGGAGAGUGGAAUUCCAUGUGUAGCGGUGAAAUGCGCAGAGAUAUGGAGGAACACCAGUGGCGAAGGCGGCUCUCUGGUCUGUUACUGACGCUGAGGUGCGAAAGCGUGGGGAUCAAACAGGAUUAGAUACCCUGGUAGUCCACGCCGUAAACGAUGAGUGCUAAGUGUUGGGGGGGUUUUCCGCCCCUCAGUGCUGCAGCUAACGCAUUAAGCACUCCGCCUGGGGAUACGACCGCAAGGUUGAAACUCAAAGGAAUUGACGGGGACCCGCACAAGCGGUGGAGCAUGUGGUUUAAAUUCGAAGCAACGCGAAGAACCUUACCAAAGUCUUGACAUCCUCUGACAACUGUAGAGUAUACAGUCUUCCCGUUGGGGCAGAGUGACAGGUGGUGCAUGGUUGUCGUCAGCUCGUGUCGUGAGAUGGUUAGGGUUAACGUCCCGCAACCGG